UCAGGUUUCUGGAGGAAGGUUCGUCCGCUCCAGGUUAGUCGGGAGCUAAGGUGAGGCCUAACGGCGUAGCCGAUGCACAGACGGUAGAGAUUCCGUCACCACCAAAAGAGUUAAACACAGGGACACAUUUGAAGUCUCGGAGCCGGGUGUUGGUUCCGGUAGUGAUCGAGGGAAGUUAGUACCGAAGUCCGGGAUGGAAGAUGGCGAGAAAAGCUGUGUGUAUUUCUGCGGUGCCCGUACCGCAAACCGACACAGGUAGGUAGGAAGAAGAUUCUAAGGCCAACGGGAGAAGGGUUGUUAAGGAACUCGGCAAAUUGACCCCGUAACUUCGGGAGAAGGGGUGCUCCAGAGAUGGAGCCGCAGAGAAUCGGCCCAAGCAACUGUUUACCAAAAACACAGGUUUGUGCUAAAUCGAAAGAUGACGUAUACGAGCUGACGCCUGCCCGGUGCUGGAAGGUUAAGAGGAGAUGUGCAAGCAUUGAAUCGAAGCCCCAGUGAACGGCGGCCGUAACCAUAACGGUCCUAAGGUAGCGAAAUUCCUUGUCAGGUAAGUUCUGACCCGCAUGAAAGGCGUAAUGAUUUGGGCACUGUCUCGACAGCCCGCCCGGCGAAAUUGUAGUACCGGUGAAGAUGCCGGUUACCCGCGACAAGACGGAAAGACCCCAUGGAGCUUUACUGUAGCCUAAUAUUGGGUUUCGAUGUUGCAUGCACAGGAUAGAUGGGACACUGGGAAGCAAGUGCUUUGGCAUUUGUGGAGUGGCCGUUGGGAUACCAUCCUUGCGAUAUUGGAAUUCUAACCUGCGCCUUUGAAUCAAGGCGGGGGACAUUGUUAGGUGGGCAGUUUGACUGGGGCGGUCGCCUCCUAAAGAGUAACGGAGGCGUUCAAAGGUUCGCUCAGCUUGAACGGAAAUCAAGCAAAAGAGUGCAAACGCAGAAGCGAGCCUAACUGCGAGACUGACGGGUCGAGCAGUAACGAAAGUUGGAGUUAGUGAUCCGGUGGUAUGUGAGUGGAAAUGCCAUCGCUCAACGGAUAAAAGUUACCCUGGGGAUAACAGGCUGAUCUCCCCCAAGAGUCCACAUCGACGGGGAGGUUUGGCACCUCGAUGUCGGCUCAUCGCAUCCUGGGGCUGUAUUCGGUCCCAAGGGUUUGGCUGUUCGCCAAUUAAAGCGGUACGCGAGCUGGGUUCAGAACGUCGUGAGACAGUUCGGUCCCUAUCUGUCGUGGGCGCAGGAUAUUUGAUGGGAGCUGUUCCUAGUACGAGAGGACCGGAGCGGACGUACCUCUGGCGCACCAGUUGUUCUGCCAAGGGCAUAGCUGGGCAACUAUGUACGGAUCGGAUAAACGCUGAAAGCAUCUAAGCGUGAAGCCGACCCAAAGAUAAGAUAUCCCAUUGUUUCAAACAAGUAAGACCCCUUGAAGACUACAAGGUUGAUAGGCAUGAUGUGUAAGUGGAGUGAUCCAUUCAGCAAGCAUGUACUAAUAGGUCGAGGGCUUGACCAG
rnacentral:rRNA from 1 species